GUGCUUGCUUUGGGGGCACAUAUACUAAAAUUGGAACGAUACAGAGAAGAUCAGCAUGACUCCUGCGCUAGGAUGACACACAAAUUCGUGAAGCGUUUCAAAUUUUU
ensembl:snRNA U6 U6 spliceosomal RNA